AUUGAACGCUGGCGGCAGGCCUAACACAUGCAAGUCGAACGAGUGGCGGACGGGUGAGUAAUGUCUGGGAAACUGCCCGAAGGAGGGGGAUAACUACUGGAAACGGUAGCUAAUACCGCGUACUAUCGGAUGUGCCCAGAUGGGAUUAUCUGUGAGGUGAGGUAACGGCUCACCUAGGCGACGAUCCCUAGCGUGUCUGAGAGGAUGACCAGCAACACUGGAACGGAGACACGGUCCAGACCCCUACGGGAGGCACCAGUGGGGAAUAUUGCACAAGGGUCGCAAGCCUGAUGCAGCCAUGCCGCGUGUAUGAGGAGGGCCUUCGGGUUGUAAAGUACUUUCAGCGGGGAGGCGUUACCCGCAGAAGAAGCACCGGCUAACUCCGUGCCAGCCGCCGCGGUAAUUC
rnacentral:rRNA from 1 species